rnacentral:misc_RNA from 1 species
ACCGCUGGCUGGCAUCACAG